rnacentral:rRNA from 1 species
AUUGAACGCUGGCGGCAUGCCUUACACAUGCAAGUCGAGGGGCAGCGCGGGUAGCAAUACCUGGCGGCGACCGGCAAACGGGUGCGGAACACGUACGCAACCUUCCCAAAACUGGGGAAUAGCCCUCCGAAAGGAGGAUUAAUACCCCGUAACAUAACGAAGUGGCAUCACUUUGUUAUUAUAGUUCCGACGGUUUUGGAUGGGCGUGCGCCUGAUUAGGUAGUUGGCGGGGUAACGGCCCACCAAGCCUACGAUCAGUAACUGGUGUGAGAGCACGACCAGUCACACGGGCACUGAGACACGGGCCCGACUCCUACGGGAGGCAGCAGUAGGGAAUAUUGGACAAUGGGGGCAACCCUGAUCCAGCCAUGCCGCGUGAGUGAAGAAGGCCCUCGGGUUGUAAAGCUCUUUUGUCCGGAAAGAAAAGCAAUCGGUUAAUACCCGGUUGUUCUGACGGUACCGGAAGAAUAAGCACCGGCUAACUUCGUGCCAGCAGCCGCGGUAAG